rnacentral:rRNA from 1 species
UACGGAGGGUGCGAGCGUUGUCCGGAAUCACUGGGCGUAAAGGGCGCGUAGGCGGCGCGAGUAGUCAACGGUGAAAGCCCGGGGCUCAACCCCGGGUCGGCCGUCGAUACUCUCGUGCUUGAGCACUGUAGAGGCAGGUGGAAUUCCGGGUGUAGCGGUGGAAUGCGUAGAGAUCCGGAAGAACACCGGUGGCGAAGGCGGCCUGCUGGGCAGUAGCUGACGCUGAGGCGCGACAGCGUGGGGAGCAACAGG